GUUUAGAACGUCGUGAGACAGUUCGGUCCCUAUCUGCCGUGGGCGUUGGAUGAUUGAUUGGAGUUGUUCCUAGUACGAGAGGACCGGAAUGAACGAACCGCUGGUGUUCGGGUUGUCAUGCCAAUGGCACUGCCCGGUAGCUACGUUCGGAACGGAUAACCGCUGAAAGCAUCUAAGCGGGAAGCCGGCCAAGAGAUGAGUCAUCCCUUGUACCUUGAGUACACAUAAGGGUCGUUGGAGACCACAACGU
rnacentral:rRNA from 1 species